rnacentral:rRNA from 1 species
AGGACGAACGCUGGCGGCGUGCUUAACACAUGCAAGUCGAGCGAUGAAGCUCCUCGGGAGUGGAUAGCGGCGGACGGGUGAGUAACACGUGGGUAACCUGCCUCAUAGAGGGGAAUAGCCUUUCGAAAGGAAGAUUAAUACCGCAUAAGAUUGUAGUACCGCAUGGUACAGCAAUUAAAGGAGUAAUCCGCUAUGAGAUGGACCCGCGUCGCAUUAGCUAGUUGGUGAGGUAACGGCUCACCAAGGCGACGAUGCGUAGCCGACCUGAGAGGGUGAUCGGCCACAUUGGGACUGAGACACGGCCCAGACUCCUACGGGAGGCAGCAGUGGGGAAUAUUGCACAAUGGGGGAAACCCUGAUGCAGCAACGCCGCGUGAGUGAUGACGGCCUUCGGGUUGUAAAACUCUGUCUUUGGGGACGAUAAUGACGGUACCCAAGGAGGAAGCCACGGCUAACUACGUGCCAGCCGCUGC